GACGAACGCUGGCGGCGUGCCUAAUACAUGCAAGUAGAACGCUGAAGGAGGGGCUUGCUUCUCCGGAUGAGUUGCGAACGGGUGAGUAACGCGUAGGUAACCUGCCUGGUAGCGGGGGAUAACUAUUGGAAACGAUAGCUAAUACCGCAUAACAGUAGAUAUUGCAUGAUAUCUGCUUGAAAGGUGCAAUUGCAUCACUACCAGAUGGACCUGCGUUGUAUUAGCUAGUUGGUGAGGUAACGGCUCACCAAGGCGACGAUACAUAGCCGACCUGAGAGGGUGAUCUGCCAAACUGGGACUGAGGCGCGGGCCAGGCUCCUACGGGAGGCAGCAGUAGGGAAUCUUCGGCGAUGGACGGAAGUCUGAACGAGCAACGCCGCGGGAGUGAAGAAGGUUUUCGGAUCGUAAAGCUCUGUUGUAAGAGAAGAACGAGUGUGAGAGUGGAAAGUUCACACUGUGACGGUAUCUUACCAGAAAGGGACGGCUAACUACGUG
rnacentral:rRNA from 1 species